GCCGCAUAUUCUUCUUGGGAUUGUUCGGCAAUCAGCUACGAGUCAGUGAACACCCUUACGCAUUUUACACUAAGAUCUUUAGCGAUCUUCAGUCUAAUUAUUAAUGCUUCGUACUCGACUUGAUUGUUUGAAGCUUGAAAAUUGAACCGAAGUACAUACUCAGUUACCAUCCUGUCAAUAUUGGUUAGAAUGUGGCCCGCAUCGCAUCCUUACGCAUUUAAAACUCCAUCCAUAUGUAGGAUCUAUGCAGGUUCCAAAGUAUCUUCUUGGGACUGAUCUUCGACUUGGUCAUCCUCGGUUGGGGUGCACUCGAUGAUAAAAUCGAUGAGUAUCU
rnacentral:lncRNA from 1 species